GUCAGCUUGUUCUGUGCUGCAGCCCAUGGGAAUUCCAGAAGCAAGGAUAUUUCAUUAAGCUGCUCUGAUCAGCCAUUACUGAGUGCUAAAGUCACAGCCCUGAGUGUGUGUGAAACCGGGUCUGGUGUGUACCUUUUAGAAUGUACUCUGCUGGAAUGUGUGCUGGAUUUGGGGGACAGCUGGAGUUUGGCCCAGGCUUCGCUACAUCGCCCCCAUGCUGCCAAGGAGCCCAGAAGACCUUGACCAAGGGCAGGAUGAGUCAGGAGCUACAAGCAAUCUUCCAAGACCAUUUCCUGUGGCCUCCCCUCCCUGGCCUAGGACCAAAGCAGGACCGUGGAGACUGCCCCUCUUCCAUCCUCUAUUGCCUCUGAAUCGGUGAUACUGAUUUAAGGCACUCACACUGAAGCCUCCAUUUAUACUUGUUUAGAGUUCUUUGGAAAUAAGAAAAAACAUACAAUUGUUUCUAUUUCUCUGAAAAUAAGGGCAAUACUAGAUACCUAUUGCUUAAAAUAAAUAUUGUUGAUGAAUGAAGGAAAGUAAUCA
rnacentral:lncRNA from 12 species